rnacentral:lncRNA from 1 species
CACAGCGUGAGCGCGCAUUUUCUAAUGGCUGCUGAUCACUCUUCCAGAAAGGUCAAAGCAAGGCCAACCAGGAUGAGAUGAAAAUGUGUAUCAGGAAUUCAACCAGAUAGUUAGCAAAAAUUAUAUUGGUCUCUUGAUCAUCACUGCCCACAACUGAUUCAGAUCUUCAGAUGUUCAGGUCACAGAGAGGUCUCACUGGACAGAUUUUUAUCUACUACAAGAUGUCAAGGCCUCUGACCUCACUGACAUGCGAGGUGUUUUCAUUUGAGUGCUUCCAGUAGUUUGAAGCAGUUCUUCAAAGCAUGUUUUGCUUCAGAUGAUGGAGACUCAAAUCAACAUAUGCUCGUUGGAAUUCUUAACCGAGAAAAUGACGAUGUGGCUCUGCAACCCCUGUCCUUCCACCUCCACCCAUCCCCUGUGGGAAUCAUCUUGGAGGGAAAUGUUGUAAUGGACAAUAUAAACAAUAUACCCCAGGCCAUGUGUCUUUUUGGAUCAACCUAUGCACUGCACCUAGGCUACACAAAAUGCGUGGACAAUACCCUUCUUUUUAUUCAACAAGUUUGGGUAAGAAGACGCUGAAGGGUAAGAUUCUGGCGUGUCAUGUAAACUGGUACAAAAAAGGCAUGUUCCUUCAGGCUUGCUGUCCUAACUGUGAGUUAAAAAAACUUAAAACUAUGCCUUAGUGUUUGGCAAGUGUAAAUAUUCGAUAAUACUACAAUGUAAUAAUGUCUUGUGGUUGUUUAUUAUUUGGAUAUGUUUGUAAAAAAUUAUUGAAAUAUUUUAAACAAGUGUUUUAAUAAGAUUUAUAACAAUAAAUAUCGACAAAUUGUUAUACAAGGC